rnacentral:lncRNA from 1 species
CGGCCGCGGCUCAGCAUGGACGUGACGGUGUCGCAGCUCGUUGAGCUGUUUCUGCAGAGUCCGCUGGUGACCUGGGUGAAAACUUUUGGCCCGUUUGGAAGUGGCCACCAGGACAACUUGACUCUGUACAUGGAUUUAGUGGACGGCAUCUUUUUGAACCAAAUCAUGUUGCAAAUAGACCCCAGGCCAAGCAACCAGCGUAUCAACAAGCACGUCAACAAUGACGUCAACCUGCGCAUUCAAAACCUGAGUAUCCUGGUGAGGAACAUCAAGACCUACUACCAGGAAGUUCUCCAGCAGCUGAUCGUAAUGAACUUGCCCAAUGUUUUGAUGAUUGGCAAAGACCCACUGUCUGGGAAGAGCAUGGAGGAGAUUAAGAAGGUGCUGCUGCUGGUGCUGGGCUGUGCUGUUCAGUGUGAGAGAAAAGAGGAAUUCAUUGAGAGAAUCAAACAGCUGGACAUCGAGACCCAGGCUGGCAUUGUGGCUCAUAUCCAGGAGGUGACCCACAACCAGGAGAAUGUGUUUGACCUGCAGUGGCUGGACUUACCUGAUGUGGCCCCA